CAGUCGCCACGGGAAUACGUAGGGUGCAAGCGUUAAUCGGAAUUACUGGGCGUAAAGCGUGCGCAGGCGGUUUGUUAAGACAGAUGUGAAAUCCCCGGGCUCAACCUGGGAACUGCAUUUGUGACUGGCAAGCUAGAGUAUGGCAGAGGGGGGUGGAAUUCCGCGUGUAGCAGUGAAAUGCGUAGAUAUGCGGAGGAACACCGAUGGUGAAGGCAGCCCCCUGGGCCAAUACUGACGCCCAUGCACGAAAGCGUGGGGAGCAAACAGGAUUAGAUACCCCCGUAGUCCCUGUCUCUUAUAC
rnacentral:rRNA from 1 species